UGGGGAAUAUUGGACAAUGGGCGAAAGCCUGAUCCAGCAAUGCCGCGUGAGUGAUGAAGGCCUUAGGGUUGUAAAGCUCUUUUACCCGGGAAGAUAAUGACUGUACCGGGAGAAUAAGCUCCGGCUAACUCCGUGCCAGCAGCCGCGGUAAUACGGAGGGAGCUAGCGUUGUUCGGAAUUACUGGGCGUAAAGCGCACGUAGGCGGCUUUCUAAGUUAGAGGUGAAAGCCCGGAGCUCAACUCCGGAAUUGCCUUUAAGACUGGAUCGCUUGAAUCAUGGAGAGGCGGGUGGAAUUCCGAGUGUAGAGGUGAAAUUCGUAGAUAUUCGGAAGAACACCAGUGGCGAAGGCGGCCCGCUGGACAUGUAUUGACGCUGAGGUGCGAAAGCGUGGGGAGCAAA
rnacentral:rRNA from 1 species